CCGAAGCUCGUCUCAGGCAGAAGGAGGAGAAGCUCGAAAAGCUAAGGGCAAAAUAUCAGGAAGCGAUGAAGAACGAAGUUGCUGCUGCUCAUAAGGUCGCUGAGGAGAAGAGAGCCAUGGUAGCAGCCAAGAAGGGUAUGGACAUUCUCAAGACUGAAGAGACUGCGGCCAAGAUCAGGGCGACAGGAAAAUUCCCUGUAAAAUUCGGAUGUUUUGCUGCGUAAAAUUUCUUCGUGGCUUCUCUCUUCACACCUAAAUUUUUGUCUUUUUCCAAUCGAUGGUGGGUACCCAGUAAUAGGAGCCCAUUUUGGAAGAAGUCACCAGCGAGCGCUACGUCACGAGACAUAAUAUCUUUUCAUUGACGACAAGGAGAAUACAGAGCCUUGAUGUAAUUGUAAACUAGUAUGUUAAAACAUUUAGUGCGGUCUAGUGUAGGGUUGGGGUUAACCAUUUGCUUCCGUUUACCUCUUAGCGUAUGAAAUUCUUAAGUAUGGUCGUCAUUCUCGCAUGAUCUCAUGAUCAAGCGACUUCGUGGGUCUCUUUGUUGUAAAGAGUGAGUGUCGGCGUUACAGAUGUAAAACAACUUCGUGCAAAUCAAUAAACAAUUCGACCAGGUAUUUCUUUUGUAGAAACACUACCUACAUCAUGAACCCAAUAUGACGAAUUGGUUCACGAGCCGUUGCUUCACAUGUUUCUAGAGUCUGCGCACGAGCUCUUACCAAAAAAAUGUUUCUAUGGUUUCCUCUGUUUCUGAAUGUUGUGCACCAUCUGAGUCGUUAGACUAAUAUGUAAGUUGUACACGUACUUGAUCUAUUCUUGGUAACACGAAGACCAUUGAAGAUAAUUCACUGUGCAUCGGGCAAAUAUUUUCACGAAUUGUUAAUUCCAAACUAUGAGUACAAUGCUCUUGACAGCAUUGUUUCAGAAUAAACACACCGUGAGUAUUUUGAAACAUUCUGAGUGUAAUGCUCUUACCAGCAUCUGAAAGGCGCAAAUACAACAAAUAAUUCAUUCUGCAGGAACAGAUGUCUGCAAACCGUUUUGAUAAACAUUGAACACUGAACACAACGGGCCCUGAAGUUAUGCUUUUUUCGGAUGAAGCUUGUGUGCAAGUUGUAAUAAGCAUGUGCUCACUGAUCAUUUUACGGUCAGGGAAAAUAUACUGAAGUUGCGCUGUACGAGGGCUUAAAAUUGAGAACGCAUUCACAACAGCUGAGCGUUUUCACUCAAAGCUGCUGUAUCUCUUACAACUUAAGGAAAUUCAUUCGCACAAUAUAUCUUGGAUGUUCUGGCGAUCUACAAAUCUGAUAUAGUCUGUCUCUUAACUUGAGAGAGGUUAAUGUAAUUGCUUCAAGCAUCUGGCAUUCAUUAUGAAACAUUUACAAAUUGCAUAGAUAUAACGCUGGUGAUUAUUUCAUGAUUAUAUGACGCAGUCUUGAUUGGAUUGAAGAUUAACAGAUACUCUAAACGGAAGUAAGGCCAUGACAGUUGAAACUCUAGCUACCUAAAAUUUGCUGGAUAUUGUAUCCCGUGAAUUCUACGCUACAAAUCAUUUUUGCCACGUUGGAAAAAUUAUGGGACAAUCCGUCUCGGCUGACUUGCAUCGAAAUUUGAAAGAAAAGACUCAAAAGUCUCCUUCACACAAUUUCAUAGUGACUCAGAAAGCUCUGCUGUCGAUUACCAAAAUUUGUAUUAAUUACCUUCGUUACACACAGUAGUUCGCUGUACUUUUACUAUGGCGAAGGUAACAUGAAUUCCUCAUAAACAGCCGAAGCAACUGUUUUUGCAACAGAAUAAUCAGGGGACAUGGCAGCAGUUUGUACAUAAAUUCACGAAAGAUCUCAAAAAGCUCAAUUAAGCUUCUAAAGAAAACUGAUGCUAACGAAGGUCGCGAUCCAAGUGAGUGCUGAUGUUGCGGUAGUCGCAGCUUGAACGAAAGCUGAUCCUGGUCUUUGAUAUGUUACAGAUGUCGAGUUCUUCAGUUAGUUUGACGCACUUUCAACCUAUGAAGCGAUAAAUAUAUCAAACAGCACAUGGUGGUCUCGCUUCAAAGGUAAGGUUGAUUUAAUAAUGUACUUUCACUCAUGCGAAGAAAGCUGUCUGCUCUUCCUCAUUGAGUCAGGUUUUUCACUCUAACGACGGAACUCGUGUGACCUCCACCCCUGGCCCCGCUCCACAUAACACCUUGGCUGUGUUUGGGAGUUCUCUUUGUCGAUAAAAGAUCUCCACUGCAAAGCGACGUAGUCAUCACCAUUGUUGCUUCGAACACCACCACUCCGAUCAGCACAGCAACGAAUCCCAACAUUUUCGACGAUUGAGAUCUGCAAAUGUGGUUAAGCUUCUUGCACUCCAGCCGUAUAAAAGAAUCCUAAUAAGGCGAAAACCUUGCAACCUAAGGGCUGUUCAACUUGUGCAAUGCCGUGCUUGGCGGAGUUUCACUUAUGGCUGUUAAGCACGCCUCAAGAUGCUCACUCUCUCCACCGAUGUGACAGUCAGUUAACAUGAAGCCAGCAACAACCUAAAGAUGCCUCUCAACUCUAAAGUAAGAAUCAGUUCGCGGAAACGAAUCGCGCCGCAGAAUUCUUGUAACCAUGCAUUUGCAAUAUAGCCACCAGGAAAAAUUCACAGCAUGCGUUGCCUAGCUCUAGUGCAAUUCAACUCACUGCUCUAUCACUUCUCCUUAAAACUAAACAUUCAAUCUCUCAGUCUCACUCGCUAGACAUGAAGCUCAACCUCCACCUCUAAAUAUCACGCACUGAAACAAUGUAUGCUACUCCCGAAUUGCAGUCCACUUGAAUACUGUAGUCGGCAAUGAAUUGUCGCACAAUAUUCAGCCCACAAUUGAGUCAAUUGUUACGUGGCCUUCGAACUGUCCAUUGGAUAUCUGCAAAUGUCUGCAGCAUUGCCUAUUAUACCAUGGAUUUCGUGACCUUACGAGGAAGCAUCUCAACACCGAGCCCAAAU
rnacentral:lncRNA from 1 species